AUUGAACGCUGGCGGCAUGCCUUACACGUGCAAGUCGAACGGCAGCGGGCCUUCGGGUGCCGGCGAGUGGCGAACGGGUGAGUAAUGCAUCGGAACGUGCCAUUGAGUGGGGGAUAACGUAGCGAAAGUUACGCUAAUACCGCAUAUUCUGUGAGCAGGAAAGCAGGGGACCGCAAGGCCUUGCGCUCUUUGAGCGGCCGAUGUCGAGAUUAGCUAGUUGGUGAGGUAAAGGCUUACCAAGGCGACGAUCUGUAGCGGGUCUGAGAGGAUGAUCCGCCACACUGGAACUGAGACACGGUCCAGACUCCUACGGGAGGCAGCAGUGGGGAAUUUUGGACAAUGGGCGCAAGCCUGAUCCAGCCAUGCCGCGUGAGUGAAGAAGGCC
rnacentral:rRNA from 1 species